rnacentral:rRNA from 1 species
ACUGAGACACGGCCCAAAAUCCUACGGGAGGCAGCAGUGGGGAAUAUUGGACAAUGGGCGAAAGCCUGAUCCAGCAAUGCCGCGUGAGUGAUGAAGGCCUUAGGGUUGUAAAGCUCUUUCACCGGAGAAGAUAAUGACGGUAUCCGGAGAAGAAGCCCCGGCUAACUUCGUGCCAGCAGCCGCGGUAAUAAUAAGGGGGCUAGCGUUGUUCGGAAUUACU